rnacentral:rRNA from 1 species
UACGUAGGGGGCAAGCGUUGUCCGGAUUCAUUGGGCGUAAAGAGCGUGUAGGCGGCCAGGUAGGUCGGUUGUGAAAACUGGAGGCUCAACCUUCAGAGGUCGACCGAAACCAUCUGGCUAGAGUCCGGGAGAGGAGAGUGGAAUUCCUGGUGUAGCGGUGAAAUGCGCAGAUAUUGGGAGGAACACCAGCGGCGAAGGCGGCACUCUGGGCUGGUAUUGACGCUGAGGAGCGAAAGCGUGGGUAGCGAACAGG